rnacentral:rRNA from 1 species
GACGAACGCUGGCGGCGUGCUUAACACAUGCAAGUCGAACGGAAAGGCCCCUUUGGGGGUACUCGAGUGGCGAACGGGUGAGUAACACGUGAGUAACCUGCCCUUGACUUCGGGAUAACUUCAGGAAACUGGGGCUAAUACCGGAUAGGAAUCCUUGCUGCAUGGUGGGGGUUGGAAAGCUUCGGCGGUUUUGGAUGGACUCGCGGCGUAUCAGCUUGUUGGUGGGGUAGUGGCUUACCAAGGCUUUGACGGGUAGCCGGCCUGAGAGGGCGACCGGCCACACUGGGACUGAGAUACGGCCCAGACUCCUACGGGAGGCAGCAGUGGGGAAUCUAGCACAAUGGGCGGAAGCCUGAUGCAGCAACGCCGCGUGCGGGAUGACGGCCUUCGGGUUGUAAACCGCUUUCAGCAGGGGCGAAGCUUGUGGUGACGGUACCUGCAGAAGAAGCACCGGCUAACUACGUG